AGGGAUAGUAAAUGAGAAAACAGUGGUAGCCAUUCCAAGUGACUCAAAAGAGAGCAAUUAGGAAGUUGUCAUAGUUGACCCCACACUGGCAUUCUUAUAGAAUAGGGUAAUGGCUAGUGGGACAUUCCUCCUAUGUCUGAGUCAAAGCAUGAAAUUCCUAAAAGACUCCUAUGGGCUACUUUUAACUGAUUUUAGAGAGGCACAGUUUUCAGCAUUGUCUUAUAUAAGAGGAGACUUUACCAAGAUUGGGGAGAGGGGAUUUCUGGGAUAUCUUUACCAAUGGACAGGAGGUUCGGUUCUGAGCCUCGGACUGGAAGCAGCUCUUUUCCUGAUCUCGGGAUUUGAAUCUCACCAUUCUCCCUAAGGAUUCUCCAUAUUGAACUCAACACCCAUAUUGACUGAGAACUGUUCCUGAUCUCUGCCAUAUCAAGAUCUGAGCGGACUGACUGGACAUUUCAUCUUUGCCCAAGAGGGAUUUUCCCUGGAGCGCAGGCUGUGUCAGUCCUGAAAGCAGAAACAUCUUCCUCCGUGUCAGCUUAUCUUAAAGACUUAUGUUACUACUUUAACGUUAGUUCAAGAUCGCCAGCAUAAGAGAAUAUUAAGAAUAGAUAAGGUUUUCAAACUGGUCUCUGCUGUUCACCAGUCAGGAACUCGCUUCCACACUGGACAUUUAGCGUAGGGACUUCUAUUUAACCACUUACCUGACCCCAUCAUAAGUUUCCGAUCCCAAAUAAAAGGAGUUUGUUUAUUCAAAAACAGUCAGAUCUUUUAAGAGAAGAAAGGAGAUCGGAAGGCGGAGCUUUGGUCCAGGUGGGAGGUCUCUAUUUAGAGUCAGGUAAAGAAAACUAGACCUAGAGAAGUUAAAAGAUUCAUCCAUGAAUAGACAACUAAGAAGCAGAAGAGCCAUGAAUUGUGCUGAAUUGGAUUGGAUUGAUCUGAACUUUCUCAUUGAAAUGAAGACAUCAAAUACAUGAAAAAAAUAACAAGUAAUAGGUGAGGUGAUAACAAUUCCCCUGAGCUCUGCUUAUAGUUGAGACUACUUUGUCAUUCUCUUACAGCUAUAAUCGCACGGAUAAAUGGUCUUUGUUCCCACCAGGCGAUCAGCAGAGCCAUUAGGAAAUGGUAAACCUGAUACGACAGCAGCUGCCUCCAUGGCAGCACAGCUAACAACAGAUUUAUGCAUGGAGGAAGAAUUUAUGAACAAUUAAGAGAAAGAAGAUUUUGUGAAAUGUAAAACAGAUAAUUUUGAAUAUAUUAAAUUUAAAAGGUUUUGUACAAAUAAAGCUAAUGUAUCCAAGAUUAAAAAGAAAAUGACAACCUGGGAAUCUUUUUUUAUACACAGUUUCUCGGAUAGAGAUCUCAAAUCUAAUAUAUAAAAGAACUUUGUCAAACAAGAAUAUGAUCCAUUCUCAAAUUGAUAUAUUGUGCAAAGGUUUGAAUAGAAAGAUUUUGGAUAAAGAAGUCAAACCUACCUUUAAAUAAUGAAAAAAAAUGCUCCGAUUCAUUAUUGAUUAGAAAAAUGAAAAUUAAAACAACUCCGAGAUGUCUCAUACCUGUCAGAUUGACUAAAAUCAUCAAAAGGCAAAAUGAUAAAUGUCCAAAUGGAUUUGGAAAAAUAGUGACACAUAUACAUU